CAAUAGCGUAUAUUAAAGUUGCUGCGGUUAAAAAGCUCGUAGUUGGAUUUCAGUCUAGGAAGGUUAACUCGCCGAAAGGUUGUACGUUGAUUUUCCUCAGACUUCGUCAGAAGCUCGUGCUGCACUUAACUGUGUGGUACGAUGUUCUGACCUUUUACCUUGAGGAAAGUAGAGUGUUUCAGGCAGGCUACCCAGCUUGAAUACAUUAGCAUGGAAUAAUGAAAUGGAUCUCGGUUCGAUUUCGUUGGUUCUAGAGCUGAGGUGAUGAUCAAUAGGAACAGGCGAAGGUAUUCGUACUUGAGAGUGAGGAGUGAAAUCCGAUGAUCUCUUAAAGACGAUCCGAGGCGAAAGCAUUUGUCAAGGAUGUUUUCAUUGA
rnacentral:rRNA from 1 species